GAACGCGGACUAGGCCAGUGAUCACAGCAUAAGAACCGGAACGCUCUGGAAAGGGCGGCCUCAGUGGGUGAUAGCCCCGUACGGGUAGAAAAUGCUGGGAUCCUCGAGUAAGGCGGGACACGUGUAAUCCUGUCUGAACAUGGGGGGACCAUCCUCCAAGGCUAAAUACUCGUGAUCGACCGAUAGUGAACCAGUACCGUGAGGGAAAGGCGAAACGAACCCCGGGAGGGGAGUGAAAUAGAUCCUGAAACCGCAUGCAUACAAACAGUGGGAGCCUCCUUGUGGGGUGACUGCGUACCUUUUGUAUAAUGGGUCAGCGACUUACGUUCAGUUGCGAGCUUAACCGAAUAGGGGAGGCGCAGCGAAAGCGAGUCUGAACAGGGCGUUCAGUAGCUGGGCGUAGACCCGAAACCGGAUGAUCUAUCCAUGGCCAGGUUGAAGGUGCGGUAACACGCACUGGAGGACCGAACCCACUAAUGUUGCAAAAUUAGGGGAUGAGCUGUGGAUAGGGGUGAAAGGCUAAACAAAUCCGGAGAUAGCUGGUUCUCCUCGAAAACUAUUUAGGUAGUGCCUCGUGUAUCACUCUCGGGGGUAGAGCACUGUAAUCGUUGGGAGGGUCGUCUAGACUUAUCUCGCGAUAGCAAACUCCGAAUACCGAGAAGUGUUGAGCACGGGAGACAGACGGUGGGUGCUAACGUCCAUCGUCAAGAGGGAAACAACCCAGACCCACAGCUAAGGUCCCAAAUGAUGUGCUAAGUGGUAAACGAAGUGGGAAGGCAUAGACAGCCAGGAAGUUGGCUUAGAAGCAGCCAUCCUUUAAAGAAAGCGUAAUAGCUCACUGGUCGAGUCGUCCUGCGCGGAAGAUGUAACGGGGCUAAGCACAUAACCGAAGCUUGGGAUGCAUACUAUGUAUGCGUGGUAGAGGAGCGUUCCGUAGGCCUGAGAAGGUGUCCUGUGAGGGAUGCUGGAGGUAUCGGAAGUGCGAAUGCUGACAUGAGUAGCGAUAAAACGGGUGAAAAGCCCGUUCGCCGGAAGCCCAAGGUUUCCUGCGCAACGUUCAUCGGCGCAGGGUGAGUCGGCCCCUAAGGCGAGGCUGAGAAGCGUAGCUGAUGGGAAACAGGUCAAUAUUCCUGUACCGCUCUUCAAUGCGAUGGGGGGACGGAGAAAGGUAGGCCAGCCAGGUGUUGGAUGUCCUGGUUUAAGCGUGUAGGCGUGCCCUCUAGGCAAAUCCGGAGGGCUUAGCUGAGGCGUGAUGACGAGGUCCCAUUGGGACUGAAGUGGUUGAUCCUAUGCUUCCAAGAAAAGCCUCUAAGCUUCAGUUGAAGAGUGACCGUACCGCAAACCGACACAGGUGGGCAGGGUGAGAAUCCUAAGGCGCUUGAGAGAACUCUGGAGAAGGAACUCGGCAAAUUGACACCGUAACUUCGGGAUAAGGUGUGCCUCUAUUACGUGAAGGCCCUCGCGGCCGGAGCGGAAAGAGGUUGCAGUGAAAAGGUGGCUGCGACUGUUUAACAAAAACACAGCACUGUGCAAACACGAAAGUGGACGUAUACGGUGUGACGCCUGCCCGGUGCCGGAAGGUUAAUUGAUGGGGUGCAAGCUCUUGAUCGAAGCCCCGGUAAACGGCGGCCGUAACUAUAACGGUCCUAAGGUAGCGAAAUUCCUUGUCGGGUAAGUUCCGACCCGCACGAAU
rnacentral:rRNA from 1 species